UCCAGGUGGCUCAGUGGUAAAGAAUCUGCCUGCAAUGCAGAAGACCCGGGUUCGAUCCCUGGAUCAGGAA
rnacentral:tRNA from 1 species